AGUGGGGAAUCUUAGACAAUGGGCGAAAGCCUGAUCUAGCCAUGCCGCGUGAGUGAUGAAGGCCCUAGGGUCGUAAAGCUCUUUCGCCAGGGAUGAUAAUGACGGUACCUGGUAAAGAAACCCCGGCUAACUCCGUGCCAGCAGCCGCGGUAAUACGGAGGGGGUUAGCGUUGUUCGGAAUUACUGGGCGUAAAGCGUACGUAGGCGGAUCAGAAAGUUAGGGGUGAAAUCCCGAGGCUCAACCUCGGAACUGCCUCUAAAACUCCUGGUCUUGAGUUCGAGAGAGGUGAGUGGAAUUCCAAGUGUAGAGGUGAAAUUCGUAGACAUUUGGAGGAACACCAGUGGCGAAGGCGGCUCACUGGCUCGAUACUGACGCUGAGGUACGAAAGUGUGGGGAGCAAACAGGAUUAGAUACCCUGGUAGUCCACACCGUAAACGAUGAAUGCCAGUCGUCGGGCAGUAUACUGUUCGGUGACACACCUAACGGAUUAAGCAUUCCGCCUGGGGAGUACGGUCGCAAGAUUA
rnacentral:rRNA from 1 species